rnacentral:ncRNA from 1 species
AUUAUUUAAGGAUCGGAAAUGGCUUCCGACACGCUACUUUGUAGUAGACAGGUAUGCAGGGUACGCCGUCCUGCCAAAUAAU